rnacentral:rRNA from 1 species
GACGAACGCUGGCGGCGUGCUUAACACAUGCAAGUCGAACGGAAAGGCCCCUUUGGGGGUACUCGAGUGGCGAACGGGUGAGUAACACGUGCGUAACCUGCCCUUGACUUCGGGAUAACUUCAGGAAACUGGGGCUAAUACCGGAUAGGAAUCCUUGCUGCCUGGUGGGGGUUGGCAAGCUGCGGCGGUUUUGGAUGGACUCGCAGCCUAUCAGCUUGUUGGUGGGGUAGUGGCUUACCAAGGCUUUGACGGGUAGCCGGCCUGAGAGGGCGACCGGGACCAGUGGGACUGAGAUACGGCCCAGACUCCUACGGGAGGCAGCAGUGGGGAAUAGUACACAUGGGGCGUAAGCCUGAGGCAGCUACGCCGCGUGCGGGAUGACGGCCUUCGGGUUGGAAUCCUCUUUCAGCAGGGGCGAGGCUUGUGAUGACGGUACCUGCAGAAGAAGCACCGGCUAACUACGUG